AUUGAACGCUGGCGGCAUGCCUUACACAUGCAAGUCGAACGGCAGCACGGGUGCUUGCACCUGGUGGCGAGUGGCGAACGGGUGAGUAAUACAUCGGAACAUGUCCUGUAGUGGGGGAUAGCCCGGCGAAAGCCGGAUUAAUACCCCAUACGAUCUACGGAUGAAAGCGGGGGACCUUCGGGCCUCGCGCUAUAGGGUUGGCCGAUGGCUGAUUAGCUAGUUGGUGGGGUAAAGGCCUACCAAGGCGACGAUCAGUAGCUGGUCUGAGAGGACGACCAGCCACACUGGGACUGAGACACGGCCCAGACUCCUACGGGAGGCAGCAGUGGGGAAUUUUGGACAAUGGGCGAAAGCCUGAUCCAGCAAUGCCGCGUGUGUGAAGAAGGCCUUCGGGUUGUAAAGCACUUUUGUCCGGAAAGAAAUCCUUGGCCCUAAUACGGUCGGGGGAUGACGGUACCGGAAGAAUAAGCACCGGCUAACUACGUG
rnacentral:rRNA from 1 species